CUACGGGUUGCUCCAGUGAGGAAUAUUGCACAAUGGGGGGAACCCUGAUGCAGCAACGCCGCGUGGAGGAUGACGCAUUUCGGUGUGUAAACUCCUUUUAUAUGUCAAGAAAAUGACGGUAGCAUAUGAAUAAGCACCGGCUAACUCCGUGCCAGCAGCCGCGGUAAUACGGAGGGUGCAAGCGUUACUCGGAAUCACGGGGCGUAAAGGACGCGUAGGCGGGUUGGAAAGUCAGGUGUGAAAUCCUACAGCUUAACUGUAGAACUGCACUUGAAACUUCUAAUCUAGAGUAUGGGAGGGGGAGAUGGAAUUAGUGGUGUAGGGGUAAAAUCCGUAGAUAUCACUAGGAAUACCUAAAGCGAAGGCAAUCUCCUGGAACAUUACUGACGCUAAGGCGUGAAAGCGUGGGGAGCAAACAGGAUUAGAUACCCGUGUAGUC
rnacentral:rRNA from 1 species